rfam:Nosema ceranae BRL01 Nc000546, whole genome shotgun sequence.
GGCAACGUGGCCGAGUGGUUAAGGCGGCGGAUUUGAAAUCCGUUGGGUUUAUCCCGCGUUGGUUCGAAUCCAGCCGUUGUCG